CCUACGGGUGGCAGCAGUGGGGAAUAUUGCACAAUGGGGGAAACCCUGAUGCAGCGACGCCGCGUGAGUGAAGAAGUACUUCGGUAUGUAAAGCUCUAUCAGCAGGGAAGAAAAUGACGGCACCUGACUAAGAAGCCCCGGCUAACAACGUGCCGGCAGCCGCGGUAAUACGUAGGGGGCAAGCGUUAUCCGGAUUUACUGGGUGUAAUGGGGGCGUAGUCGGUAGGGGAAGUCUGGAGUGAAAUCCCUUGGCUUAACCAUGGAACUGCUUUGGAAACUGUGCAGCUGGAGUGCAGGAGAGGUAAGCGGAAUUCCUAGUGUAGCGGUGAAAUGCGUAGAUAUUAGGAGGAACACCAGUGGCGAAGGCGGCUUACUGGACUGUAACUGACGUUGAGGCUCGAAAGCGUGGGGAGCAAACAGGAUUAGAUACCCCGGUAGUC
rnacentral:rRNA from 1 species